rnacentral:rRNA from 1 species
UACGAAGGGGGCUAGCGUUGCUCGGAAUUACUGGGCGUAAAGGGCGCGUAGGCGGAUGGUACAGUCAGAUGUGAAAUUCCCGGGCUUAACCUGGGGGCUGCAUUUGACACGUGUUGUCUAGAGUGAGGAAGAGGGUCGUGGAAUUCCCAGUGUAGAGGUGAAAUUCGUAGAUAUUCGCAAGAACACCAGUGGCGAAGGCGGCUCACUGGCCCGAUACUGACGCUGAGGCACGAAAGCGUGGGGAGCAAACAGG